ACCCGGCUGGCUCAGUUAGUGGAGCGUGGGACUCUUGAUCUUGGGGUUGUGAGUUCGAGCCCCAUGUUGGAUG
rnacentral:tRNA from 1 species